ACAGCAGCAGCCGCGGUAAUACGAAGGGUGCAAGCGUUACUCGGAAUUACUGGGCGUAAAGCGUGCGUAGGUGGUGGUUUAAGUCCGUUGUGAAAGCCCUGGGCUCAACCUGGGAAUUGCAGUGGAUACUGGGUCACUAGAGUGUGGUAGAGGAUAGUGGAAUUUCCGGUGUAGCAGUGAAAUGCGUAGAGAUCGGAAGGAACAUCUGUGGCGAAGGCGACUAUCUGGGCCAACACUGACACUGAGGCACGAAAGCGUGGGGAGCAAACAGGAUUAGAUACCCCUGUAGUCCCUGUCUCUUAUAA
rnacentral:rRNA from 1 species